GAUGAAGAACGUAGCGAAAUGCGAUAAGUAAUGUGAAUUGCAGAAUUCAAUGAAUCAUCGAAUCUUUGAACGCACAUUGCGCCCCCUGGUAUUCCGGGGGGCAUGCCUGUCCGAGCGUCAUUACAACCCUCAAGCUCAGCUUGGUGUUGGGCCCCGCCGCCCCGGCGGGCCCUAAAGUCAGUGGCGGUGCCGUCCGGCUCCGAGCGUAGUAAUUCUUCUCGCUCUGGAGGUCCGGUCGUGUGCUCGCCAGCAACCCCCAAUUUUUUUCAGGUUGACCUCGGAUCAGGUAGGGAUACCCGCUGAACUUAAGCAUAUCAAUAAGCGGAGGA
rnacentral:misc_RNA from 1 species